UGGUACAGAUUCAGCAUUUUGCAGAUUUGAAAGAAAAUUGUAUAUGGGUGUUUUCCAUUGUCUAAUUUUAGAUUUUCUUAUUAUAAAUUUCAUUCUAGCAACUAAUUUAUCAUGAAACUAUGGAAACAUGAGCAGAAAAUAGAAGCCCUUAAGAAGAAGAUACAGCUACAAGCAUAUGACAACUAUGAAAGCAUUGAUGAAUUUUCUCUUUCAGAGCAAAUGCAACAAAAAAACACCAAAGACGAUAUAUGAGUAUAGAGUAUAUAGACUUAUCAUUUGAAUUAUGACUGAAAGAUAUUAGGAAAAUCGGGGCCUCUAGUUCUAAUAUCUCAUAGAGAGAUAUAGGUGUAUGCCUCUAGUUCUAAUAUCUCAUAGAGAGAUAUAGGUGUAUCAAAAAAAAAAUCAAAUUAGGAAAAAAUAAAUUUAUGACGCUUGCUGACCUACUGGUAAUGUUGAAUACUGUAAUGGCAGUGAUGCAAGGCCAAUAUGUGUUUGAUUUGGAUCGCAAAGGAAACACCUCUGCCCAGUUAAUUAUCUUUGGGAAGCUCCUUAUCUGUGCAAAACCUUGUAAAGUGGGGCUGGCAUUUUAACUGAAGGUGAGGAAGGAGAAAACCAUUAUUUAUCUACUCAACCACUUCUGUUUCAACAACAAGGCAUGCAGGGAGGAUCAGGGACAGCCUAGGUAGUCAGCAAGGCAAUACAGCAGGUUGAAAAACCAUCCAGUUUCCUUACAGAAUGAAAGUGAUGUGAAUUGGGUUGCAGGGUUCGGAUUAUUGAUAUCCAAAAAAUCAUUUGUUCCUUAAAUGCAUCUUUGUCUUGCAUACCAUGUGUUAGUUCAAGUGUUGGUUCUUGAUUUUUAUGCAGGAUGUUCAGAAACUUCUUGGUGCUGACCUUUACUGUUUGUUUCACCAAAUCCACCAUAAUCUGAAUAUAAUUUUACCGUAUUUAUGCCUAAUUUUGCCUAAUUUUCUUCUCCAUAAAUGUUUAAGAAAUAUGAAAAUUUAAAAUAAAGAAAUAAGACAGGUACAAAGGUGAUGAUAAGCAUAAGGUGCAUGCCCAACAGGAGAAGAGUAAUGAAGAAGAUGCACACAAAAAAAGUUUUAAAUAAUUCUUUAGCAUGCUAUUUAUGGCUUAGACAAGGAAUCUUCAAAUAGAUUUCAAUAAAAGCUACAAGUUUGUAAAUAAGCAUGUUAGACCUUACAAAAAUCAUCAAAAUUCCAUUUUCUUUAAUGAAAACUGGGCCGCAGGAUGUUAUUUGAAUUAACAGAAGAACAUCAAAUAUAUAGGGUUAGUCAUGCAAGUCCGCAACAUUAUUAAUUGUUUGUUGCGAUGGCCGCUGCUCAGGUAUUCACUGUAGUAAGACAGUUCAUGCUAUAGAUAAAGUUUUGACUUAGAGAAAAUUUAAGCGUAACAAUGUAAUAUAUGUUAUGAGCUGUAAGUUGAGUGAGGGGUUAGUAAAGUGCAAGAAGGAACCUUUAUUUUGCUAAUACACUUUAGCAUAUGUAGGUGCACGAUACAAGCAUGAAGUCAAAAUAUCUGACAUAAAAAACUUCAGAAACCCUAACACUGAACCAUGUCCACACAGUUUUCAUGCUUGUCUUGAUAUAUGUUGAAUAUAAUAUAUAAGCAUUGGGCUAGAUGGCCACGGCUCAACAAUACCAAAAAGAU